rnacentral:rRNA from 1 species
UACAGAGGGUGCGAGCGUUAAUCGGAAUUACUGGGCGUAAAGCGUGCGCAGGCGGUUGUGCAAGACAGAUGUGAAAUCCCCGGGCUUAACCUGGGAACUGCAUUUGUGACUGUACGGCUAGAGUGCGGCAGAGGGGGAUGGAAUUCCGCGUGUAGCAGUGAAAUGCGUAGAUAUGCGGAGGAACACCGAUGGCGAAGGCAAUCCCCUGGGCCUGCACUGACGCUCAUGCACGAAAGCGUGGGGAGCAAACAGG